rnacentral:tRNA from 1 species
GCGCUUGUUGUUCAGCGGUAGAAUGCUGGCCUCCCAAGUCAGCGGCCCGGGUUCAAUUCCCGGCAAGCGCA